rnacentral:rRNA from 1 species
UACAGAGGGUGCGAGCGUUAAUCGGAAUUACUGGGCGUAAAGGGCGCGUAGGUGGUUAUGUAAGAUGGAUGUGAAAUCCCUGGGCUUAACCUAGGAACUGCAUCGGUGACUGCAUAGCUGGAGUACUGUAGAGGGUAGUGGAAUUUCCGGUGUAGCGGUGAAAUGCGUAGAGAUCGGAAGGAACACCAGUGGCGAAGGCGGCUACCUGGACAGAUACUGACACUGAGGCGCGAAAGCGUGGGUAGCAAACAGG